rnacentral:misc_RNA from 1 species
GAUGAAGAACGGUAGCGAAAUGCGAUAAGUAAUGUGAAUUGCAGAAUUCAGUGAAUCAUCGAAUCUUUGAACGCACAUUGCGCCCGCCAGUAUUCUGGCGGGCAUGCCUGUUCGAGCGUCAUUUCAACCAUCAAGCCCCCGGCUUGUGUUGGGGACCUGCGGCUGCCGCAGGCCCUGAAAAGCAGUGGCGGGCUCGCUGUCACACCGAGCGUAGUAGCAUACAUCUCGCUCUGGGCGUGCUGCGGGUUCCGGCCGUUAAACCACCUUCAUAACCCAAGGUUGACCUCGGAUCAGGUAGGAAGACCCGCUGAACUUAAGCAUAUCAAUAAGCGGAGGA